rnacentral:rRNA from 1 species
UACGUAGGGUGCGAGCGUUAUCCGGAAUUACUGGGCGUAAAGGGCGCGCAGGCGGCCGCGCAAGUCGGGUGUGAAAUCCCCGGGCUCAACCCGGGAACUGCGUCCGAUACUGGGUGGCUAGAGUCCGGGAGAGGGAAGUGGAAUUCCAGGUGUAGCGGUGAAAUGCGUAGAUAUCAGGAGGAACACCGGUGGCGAAGGCGGAUCUCUGGGCCAUUACUGACGCUGAGGAGCGAAAGCGUGGGGAGCGAACAGG